rnacentral:rRNA from 1 species
AGGUUCCGUAGGUGAACCUGCGGAAGGAUCAUUAU